CUGGCAGUAAACGGUGCACGCUUGGUGUGAGGGGAAUCGACCCCCCUUGUGCCGGAGCUAACGCGUUAAGCGUGCCGCCUGGGAAGUACGGUCGCAAGACUAAAACUCAAAGAAAUUGACGGGGACCCGCACAAGCGGUGGAGUAUGUGGCUUAAUUCGAUGCAACGCGAAGAACCUUACCUGGGCUUGACAUGCAUCUCUAAGCGCGUGAAAGCGCGCGACCCUUCGGGGGAUUUGCACAGGUGC
rnacentral:rRNA from 1 species